CUGCACCCCAAGGCUCCAUACCGCUCCAGGGUAAGGCAGGGGUGUCUGUGGAAGGGUCCAGUGUGUGGCUCAGAGAAACUCGCGAUUCCUCAAGAAAUUCAAACACUGAGGGUGCAGACACUGCAGAAGGGCCCCCUGGGGGAAGAAAACAUGAAGGGGUUAGGGAAGAACCACAAAGAUAAAGAAAGGCUGGAAAGCUGGUUGUGAGAGGAGAAGGGGAGAAGCUGGGGACAUGCACGUCAGAGACCCAGACCCAUCACCGUAGCCUUCACACUGGGCAGUGUCAGGGUCAAGGCUCACUGUUGCCAAUGUACCUGGAGAAGAAAAAGCAAGCCCGACAUUGAGCUGUACUUCUACUGAUCAAUCAUAUUAUCGGUUAGUAAUUUCCAAACCUUAUUUCACAAUAAGAAGACCUGUGGAUUUUUCAGACAUACGUGUUCAUGACCCUCCGCUAGAGGUUCUG